UAACUCUGAUGUUAUCUCAUUUGUGGAUAAAUCUUUCUCCUUUUACUAAAGAUUUCCUUGGGGAAGCAUAAUACAAUGAGUCUUAUUUCAUUCAGAAUAGGCUUGUAUCUUCC
rnacentral:snRNA from 1 species